AUUGAACGCUGGCGGCAGGCCUAACACAUGCAAGUCGAACGAGUGGCGGACGGGUGAGUAAUGUCUGGGAAACUGCCCGAUGGAGGGGGAUAACUACAGGAAACGGUAGCUAAUACCGCAUACCAUCGGAUGUGCACAGAUGGGAUUAGCUAGGCGGUGGGGUAACGGCACACCUAGGCGGCGAUCCCUAGCUGGUCUGAGAGGAUGCCCAGCCACCCGUGAACUGAGCCGCGGUCCAGACUCCUACGGGAGGCAGCAGUGGGGAAUAUUGCACAAUGGGCGCAAUCCUGAUGCAGCCAUGCCGCGUGUAUGAAGAAGGCCUUCGGGUUUUAAAGUACUUUCAUCGAGGCUGCGUUACUCGCAGAAGAAGCCCCGGCUAACUCCGUGCCAGCAGCCGCGGUAAUAC
rnacentral:rRNA from 1 species